rnacentral:rRNA from 1 species
GACGAACGCUGGCGGCGUGCCUAAUACAUGCAAGUCGAACGCACAGUUUAUACCGUAGCUUGCUACACCAUAGACUGUGAGUUGCGAACGGGUGAGUAACGCGUAGGUAACCUGCCUGGUAGCGGGGGAUAACUAUUGGAAACGUUAGCUAAUACAGCAUAAUAUUAAUUAUUGCAUGAUAAUUAAUAGAAAGGUGCAAUUGAACCACUACCAGAUGGACAUGAGUUGUAUUAGCUAGUAGGUCAGGUAACGGCUCACCUAGGCGACGGUACAUAGCCUACCCGAGAGGGUGAACGGCCAAACUGGGACCGAGACACGGCCCAGGAUUCUACGGGAGGCAGCAGUAGGGGAUUUUCGGCAAUGGACGAAAGUCUGAACGAGGAACGCCGGGGGAGGGAAGAAGGUUUUCGGAUCGGAAAGCUCUGUUGUAAGGGAAGAACGGGUGUGAGAGUGGAAAGUUCACGCUGUGACGGUAUCUAACCAGAAAGGGACGGCUAACUACGUG